UACGUAGGGUGCAAGCGUUAAUCGGAAUUACUGGGCGUAAAGGGCGCGUAGGCGGCCUGCUAAGUCGAACGUGAAAUCCCUGGGCUCAACCCAGGAACUGCGUCCGAUACUGGUUGGCUUGAAUCCGGGAGAGGGACGUGGAAUUCCAGGUGUAGCGGUGAAAUGCGUAGAUAUCUGGAGGAACACCGGUGGCGAAGGCGACGUCCUGGACCGGCAUUGACGCUGAGGCGCGAAAGCCAGGGGAGCAAACGGG
rnacentral:rRNA from 1 species